rnacentral:lncRNA from 1 species
CUGAUCUGGGUGCCAGUGGGACCAGCAUGUGGCCAUUUCAGUGCGCAGGUGUUCAGAGUUUGGUGACUCUUACACCCAAGUGGAACAAAUGCUACUUACCUACGUUUCAGCUUUGCCAGAUGUUCUUGGACCUUGUUUCUUCUUGGCACCCUCUGCUACACAGAAGACGUGCACUGCCUGAGGACAGAGAUAGCCCAUGUGUUUAAAUAACCCUCUAAAUGUUAUUGAUCAAUGCAGAAUUUUCAGGUAUAGCAAAG